rnacentral:rRNA from 1 species
GACGAACGCUGGCGGCGUGCCUAAUACAUGCAAGUCGAACGCUUCUUUUUCCACCGGAGCUUGCUCCACCGGAAAAAGAGGAGUGGCGAACGGGUGAGUAACACGUGGGUAACCUGCCCAUCAGAAGGGGAUAACACUUGGAAACAGGUGCUAAUAACGUAUAACAAUAGAAACCGCAUGGUUUUGAUUUGAGAGGCGCUUUCGGGUGUCGCUGAUGGAUGGACCCGCGGGGCAUUAGCUAGUUGGUGGGGUAACGGCUCACCAAGGCCACGAUGCAUAGCCGACCUGAGAGGGUGAUCGGCCACAUUGGGACUGAGACACGGCCCAAACUCCUACGGGAGGCAGCAGUAGGGAAUCUUCGGCAAUGGACGAAAGUCUGACCGAGCAACGCCGCGUGAGUGAAGAAGGUUUUCGGAUCGUAAAACUCUGUUGUUAGAGAAGAACAAGGAUGAGAGUAACUGUUCAUCCCUUGACGGUAUCUAACCAGAAAGCCACGGCUAACUACGUGCCAGCCGCCGCAGUAA